rnacentral:lncRNA from 1 species
GUCCUCUCUCUUUUUUUCUUGAGAAGUCUGGCUAAGGGUUUAUCAGUUUUGUUGGAUCUUUUCAAAGAACCAGUUUUUCGUUUCAUUGAUCUUUUCUAUGGUUUUCUUCGUUUCUUAUUUCAUUGAUUUUGGCUCUGAUCUUUAUGGUUUCUUUCCUUCUACUAACUUUAGGUCUUGUCUGUUCUUCUCUCUCGAGCUGCUGUAGAUGUAAAGUUAGGUUGUUUAUUUGGGCUUUUUCUUGUUUCCUGAGGUGGGCUAGUAUUGCUAUAAAACUUUCCUCUUAGAACGGCUUUUGCUGAAUCCCAUAGGUUUUGGAGUGUCGUAUCUUCGUUGUCAUUUGCGGCUAGGUAUUUUUAAAUUUCCUCUUUGAUUUCUUUGGUUGUUUAAUAGCAUGUUGUUGAGUCUCCACGUGUUUGUGUUUUUUGCAGUUUUUUUCUUGUUGAUUUCUAAUCAUAUAGCGUUGUGUUUGGAAAAGAUGCUUGAUAUGAUUUCAAUUUUCUUAAAGUUACCGGGGUUGGAUUUGUAGCCCAGGAUAUGAUCAAUCUUAGAGAGUGUUCCAUGUGCACUUGAGAAGAAUGUGUAUUUUGUUGCUUUUGGAUGAAGUGUCCUAUAAAUAUCUAUUAAGUCCAUCUGGUCUAAUGCUUCAUUCAGGGCCUGUGUUUCCUUAUUGAUUUUCUGUCUGGAUGAUCUGUCCAUUGCUGUAAGUGGGGUGUUGAAGUCCCCCACUAUUGUUGUGUUAUGGUCGAUUUCUCCUUUUAAGGUUUUCAGCAAUUGCCUUAUAUAUGGUGGUGAAACUGUGUUGGGUGUGUAGAUAUUUAAAAUUGUUAUAUCAUCUUCUUGGAUUGAUCCUUUGAUCAUUAUGUAAUGUCCCUCCUUGUCCCUUAAAAUAUUCUUCAUUUUAAAGACUAUUUUGUCUGAUAUGAGUAUUGCUACUCCACCUUUCUUUUGGCCCCUGUUUGCAUGAAAUAUUUUCUUCCAUCCUCUCACUUUCAAUUUGUAUGUGUCCCUAGAAGUGAAGUGGGUCUCUUGAAGACAACAUAUAUAUGGAUCUUGUUUUUGUAUCCAUUCAGCCAGUCUGUGUCUUUUGGUUGGGGUGUUUAGUCUAUUAACACUUAAGGUAAUUAUUGAUAUGUAUGUUCUUAUUGCCAUUUUAUUAAUUGCUUUGGAUUUGUAUUUGUUGCUCCUUUCCUUUCCUUCUUCUGUUGUUCUUUUCUGCCUAUAGAAGUUCCUUUAGUAUUUGUUGUAAGGCUCGUUUAGUGUUGCUGAAUUCUCUCAACUCUUGCUUAUCUGUGAAGGUUUUGAUUUCUCUUUCAAAUCUGAAUGAGAGCCUUGCUGGGUGGAGUAAUCUUGGUUGGCGGUUUUUUCCUUUCAUCAUGUUGAGUAUAUCAAUCCACUCCCUUCUAGCCUGCAGAGUUUCUGCUGAAAAAUCUGCCGAUAAUCUUAUCGGGGUUCCCUUGUAUGUCACUUGUUUCUUCUGUCAGGCUGCUUUCAAGAUUUUCUGUCUUUAAUUUUGGUCAGUUUGAUUAGUAUGUGUCUCGGGGUGUUCCUCCUUGGGUUUACUUUAUAUGGUACUCGUUGUGCUUCCUGUAUUUGAGUGAGUGAUUCAUUCUCCACGUUAGGGAAGUUUUUGGCUAUUAUCUCUUGGAAUAUUUUUUUCUGUCUCCUUCUCUCUCUCUUCUCCUUCUGGCAUCCCUAUAAUAUGGAUGUUGGUGCAUUUCAUGUUGUCCCAGAGUUCUCUGAGAUUCUCUUCAUGUGUUUUCAAUCUUUUUUCUUUUCUUUUCUGCGUCUGUAAUUCCCACUAAUCUGUCCUCCAUAUCACUUAUUCGCUUAUUCAUUCUUCUGUCUCCUGUAUUCUUCUGUUAGCUGCCUCUAGUAAAUUUUUUAUUUCAGUUAUUGUAUUUUGCAUCUCUUCUAGUUUAAGUUUUAUAUCUUGUAUCUCUUUGCUCAGUGUUUCCUGUAAGUUAUCCUUCUUUGCCUUCAUUUUUUUUCCAAUGUCUUGCAUCAUCUUCAGCAUCAACAGUCUAAAAUCUUUUUCCUGGAGGCUGAUAAUCUCCUCAUGACAUAGUUGUUUUUCUGGGGUUUUUCCUUUCUGCCUCAUCUGAGUUAUUUCCCUCUGUCUUUUCAUUUUUAUAGGUUUUUAGUGUGGUGACCUUCUUACAGGUAAUAGAGUUGUAGCCUCUCUUACUUCUGGUGUCUGCCCCCCUGUGGCUGAAGUCAGUAUGGGGGCUUGCUGUAGGCUUCCUGAUGGGAGGGGCUGAUGCCUGCCCCCUGGUAGGAGGAGCAGGAUUCUAAUCCCUCUGGUGGGUGGGGCUUAGUCUCUGGAUGGGAUUAGAGGCAGCUGUGUGCCUGAGGGGUCUUUUGUAGCCUGUUUACUGAGGGGUGGGGCUGUGAUCCCACCUGGAUUGUUGUUUGCCCUGGGGCUUCUCAGCACUGACUGAUGGGUGGGGCCAGAUUUUCCGGAAAUGGCCACCUUCAGAGAAAGGCACUGCUGCUGAAUAUUCCCGAGAGCUUUGGCUUCAAUAUCCUUCCCUCACAACAAGCCACAUUCACCCCUGUUUUCCCAGAAUGUCCUCCAAGAACUGCAGUCAGGUUUGACCCAGAUUCCCUUGGAGACUUUGCUUUGCCCUGGGACUCAGUGCAUGUGAAAGUCUGUGUGCGCCUUUUAAGAAUGGGGUCUCCAUUUCCCUCAGUCCCAUGGAGCUCUUGUGCACAAGCCCCACUGGCCUUCAAUGCCAGAUGCUCUGGGGUUCUUUCUCCCUGUGCCAGAUCCCCACACGUGAGAGUUUGAUGUGUGGCAAGAAUUCUCACUCCUGUAGGUGAGACUCUGUGAACCAGUUAGUUUCCAGUCUGUGGAGCUUCCCACCCAGGAGGUAUGGCGUUGUUUAUAUUGUGAAAUUGCCCCUCCUACCUCUUGAUGUGGCCUCCUCUUUUUCUUCUGGAGUAGGGUAUCUUUUUUAAGGUUUCCAUUCCAUUUUGGUGAAGAGUGCUCAGUCUUUAGUUGUGAAUUUUGUUGUUUUUAGGAGAGAAGUUGAUCUCCAGUCCUUCUAUUCCGCCAUCUUAAUCCCGUCUCCCCCUGUUUGAAUUUCAAGAUGACCUAGGAGAGCACUAAACCAAGCCCUUCGGAGCUGCAUGCCCACAAAGCCAGCCCCCAACUCCCCUGGCCUUCGUGCAACACUAGCCCCCAGCCCUCCCCGAGCCCAGCUGUUCCUACCCCUUUCAUUUUAAAACCCUUUUUGAUUUGGAUGAAAAAUAUAUGAAAUCAUUCUAUAUGUAUGAGAGAAGUAGAUCUAGAGGAGUAUAAGGAUAUCAUUAACUAUCCAUAUUGAAUAGAAUAAAAUUUUAUCUACAUUCAAUAUUCUAACAGAUAAAUUCCAUAUGAAUUGAAUAUCUAAAUAUGAAAGUAAUUUUCAAAAUUUUUGUAAAUAAUUAUAAGAGAAAAAGCUUUACAACAUUAAGAUGGGGAAUAAUUUCCUUAAAAUGACAUGAAAACACAAACUAUGUUAAAAUUAAAAAAAAUGGAGGUGGCAGGGAGAACCUUGGAGAAGCUUUGGAGAGCAAGUUGCCAAUGUGUGCAGAAGUUUGACAAUGUUCAAACCCUGGAACCCAUCUGUAGAUACACACUGAAGAGACCUUUCAAAAAAAAAAAACAUAUAUAUAUAUACAUACAUUAACCAAGGAACCAUGUACAAGACAUUUUCUUCAUCAGCAGUUAUAAAAGUUUAGAAACAACCUAUAUGUGUGUCAGUUUGUGGUUGGAUAAAUAAGCUAUGGUAUUUUCAUAAAAUGGAAUGCCAUGCAGCAAUUAAAACUAAUAUACCAAAUUAAAUUUUGUACAGAAUUGUAUAGGAGGAUAAUCUUUGCCUUUUUCUCUACUAAUUUGACUCGGUCUCUUGUUUUCUACAUCUGCAUACCAAGGUUGCUGAAGACAAAUGCAUAUCUCAUCGAAGAUUAUUUUUGCGAAAGUGGGAAAAGAGAGUAUUAUAUACUUUUAUAUUUUAAGAUUUAUUAGCAAACUUGGAAUUAAAAAAAAAAAGAAAACACAACCUGUCUUUAGCAUGUUGUAUUUUAGCUACCCAUUGGUAUCUUAGAUAUAACAGGGUGAGGUCCUCAGAAAAUGCAAGGACACCUUUUAGAACAUGAAACUUUUCGGAAAUUGCUAGCCUAUCCUUUACUAAUCUCAUAUAUACUAAUAUAAAAAUGUAUUGGAGUUCCCUGGUGGCUUAGCAGGUUAAGGAUCCAGCAUUUUCUCAUUAUGCUUGGAUCACUGCCAUGCCACGGGUUUGAUCCCUUGCCUGCGAACUUGUGCAUGCUGUGGGCAUGGCAAAAAAAAAAAGUUAAUAUGAUAUUUUAGAGCCUCCAUAAAAGAAACACUGCACACAUAAGGUGCAUUAACUAUAUACUGGGUUUUCUUGGUGCAAAGAGUUGUUUGUACCAUGUGACUAUGUCUAAGAUUUGUUUUAAUCUAAGUUUAUCUUUACAAAUAGAUUUUGUAAUUCCUAUAUCUAUUUCUGACUUUUGGUUAUUGAAAUAUUUCCUCUAAUCCAUUAAACAAAUAAAUGCAUUAAUCUAAUAUUUACCCUUAUCUCAUGAAGUAUUGGGUAUUUCCAUUGGGCUUGGAGAGUGUUUCCAUUUUUUUAUCUUUAGUGUCACUACUGGCCACUGUAACUUUGCCUGGGUGUUAAAACUGGCUAAAGGAAUUUCUGUUCUGAGGCAAAUCUUUUGCCUCCUGAAAUUGGCAAUUUUAUGUUGAGGAACCAAUCCAAGGACUAAAACUCAAGGACCUGGGUCAUGAAUAGUAUCUAAGGUGAAGGGGAGUAGUGACCUUGUUCUUUGUCAGCUCUAAUUUUGCUUCUUCAGCUGAGUUCAAUAUCUGUCUCCUAUGAGCCCCAUCUUCCUCUUUUCAUGCCUCACAGAUGGUACAACAGUUAAUGAGAAGGUGGUAGAGCAGGGAUGAUGGCAAUGAGGUUUUUAGAAUAAGUAAGGACCUGUUUCCUUCUAUUCACAUUUUAAUGAGGACCUGGAUUAUAUUGUUACUAUGAGUUAUAUUUGAGACCCAUUUGAAUACUUUCUUUAAAAUGUGUUUCAUAAAAAUAAUCAUUCUUUGCAUUUUACUUUGUAUUUCUUCAGAGGCAUCCACAGGGUGCUCAUCAGAAUAUAAACUGGCAAAUACCAACAUGCUAAAUAACUGUUUGGAGUGCCCUUUGACUUAGGAGAAACACUCUACCUCAUUUCUUUGACUGGCUUUUGCUGUGUGGUAAUUGUUAGGGAAACAUCUGGUUACUGUCACAUAUUUUAGUAUCCAAUCUCAUUGCAUGACAUUUUGUUCUGUGACAUUUAGUUCCCACUUGGGACUUGGAACUGGAAACCUAAAAUUAAGUUUCAUUUCCAACAUAAUAAUAGGGAAUUGUCCUG